AGGAGCUGCAGGUGGGACAGAGCCCCCCGCCCCUCCCCCCCGUGAAGCUGGCGUGCGUGGGGGCGCUGCUGCUGCUCACCUGGUACCUGGCACCGCUCAGCCUCCCUUGGGGCCCCGCCCCUCCCCCUCCCCCACGCGGGGGGCGGCGCCUCCUGGGGGCGGGGCCGGAGC